AAUGAACGUUGGCGGCAUGGAUUAGGCAUGCAAGUCGAGCGAGAAGUGUAGCAAUACACGGAAAGCGGCGGAAGGGAGAGUAAUACGUGGGAAUCUGCCCUUAGACCUGGGAUAGCAGCGGGAAACUGCUGGUAAUACCAGAUAAUGUCUAUGGACCAAAGGUGUGAUUCCGUCUAGGGAUGAGCCCACGUCCUAUUAGCUAGUUGGUAGGGUAAUGGCCUACCAAGGCGAUGAUGGGUAGCGGGUGUGAGAGCAUGACCCGCCUCACUGGGACUGGGACACAGCCCAGACACCUACGGGUGGCGGCAGGCGAGAAUCUUCGGCAAUGGGCGCAAGCCUGACCGAGCGAUGCCGCGUGCGGGAUGAAGGCCUUCGGGUUGUAAACCGCUGUCGAGGGGGAGCAACUUCCAUAGAGUUAUCUUUAUGGAUUGAGUGAUCCCUGGAGGAAGGACGGGCUAAGUUCGUGCCAGCAGCCGCAGUAAAAC
rnacentral:rRNA from 1 species